UCGGGUGUGUUACAGCCUUACCACGUCACAGGUAUUCUGUACCAUGUUUAAGCUGGCUACAGUACACCUGAGACUGAACACGUCCACGCUUUCUCCGAGUGACGCACUGGGGAUAUCUUCUGGACAAUGGCGAAAGCUGAUGCGAGACAUAGCGCAGUUGUGAAGAAGGUUCUCGGGAUUGUUAACACCUUUAAUUGAAGGAACAGGCAGUCAAGUUUAUAUACCCUCCCUGUUUUUGACGUAACCAACAGCAUUAAAGCACCCGCCUAAGCAUAAGUCCCAGCAAGCCGCAGUAAAAUGCGUAGGGUUCCAACGCUUACUCGGAAUUACUGCGCGUAAAUCGCGCGUAUGUGGUUCACCAGUUAGAUGUAAAUCCCGGGCUCACCCUGGGACUGCUUCCAAACUACUGAGCUGGAUUACGGUAGAGGGUAGGUGGACUUCCUGUGUAGCGGUAAAUGCUUGAUUAUAGGAAGGAACUCAGUGGGGAAGGCGGCCCCCUUGACUGAUCCCGCCCCGAAGGUGCGAAAGCGUGGGGACCAAACAGGAUUAGUUCCCCGGGUAGUCCCCCCCGUAAACGAUGUCGACUAGGCGGUUGGGAUGCUUGAGAUCUUAGUGGCGCAGCUAACGCGAUAAGUCGUCCCCCUGGGGAGUACGGCCGCCAAGGUUAAAACUCUAAAGAAAUUGACGGGGGGCCGCACAAGCGGUGGAGCAUGUGGUUUAAAUUUGAAAGCAACGCGAAGAACCUUACCUGGCCUUGCCAUGCUGAGAACUUUCCAGAGAUGGGUUGGUUCCUUCGGGAACUCCGAAACAGGUGCGUCAUUGCUGUCGUCAGCUCCUGUCAUCAGAAGGUGGGUUAAGAUCCGUAACGAGCGCAACCCUUGGCUUUAUGGAUCGGUCCCGCGGGUGGCACUCUACAAAAUUUGCCGCUGCCAACCCGGAGGAAGGUGGGGAUGACGUCACGUCAUCAGGGCGCUUGCGGCCAGGGCUACACACGUGCUACAAUGGUCGGUACAAAGGGUUGCCAAGCCGCGAGGUGGAGCUAAUCCCAUAAAACCGAUCGUAGUCCGGAUCGCAGUCUGCAACUCGUCUGCGUGAAGUCGGAAUCGCUAGUAAUCGUGAAUCAGAAUGUCACGGUGAAUACGUUCCCGGGCCUUGUACACGCCUUCCCUCACACCAUGGGAGUGGGUUGCUCCAGAAGUAGCUAGUCUAAACUCAAGGGGGACAGGUAACGAAAAGAAGAAGCCC
rnacentral:rRNA from 1 species